ACUCAAAUGAAUAGACGGGGGCCCGCACAAGCAGUGGAGUAUGUGGUUUAAUUCGAAGAUACGCGAAAAACCUUACCAGAACUUGACAUCCUGAGAACCUUUUGGAAGCAAAAGGGUGCUGUUUACAGAACUCAGUGACAGGUGGUGCAUGGUUGUCGUCAGCUCGUGUCGUGAGAUGUUGGGUUAAGUCCCGCAACGAGCGCAACCCCUAUCGUUAGUUGCCAGCAUUCAGUUGGGCACUCUAGCGAGACUGCCGUUGACAAAACGGAGGAAGGUGGGGAUGAUGUCAAAUCAUCAUGCCCCUUAUGUUCUGGGCUACACACGUACUACAAUGGGAAUCACAACGGGAAGCCAAGCCGCGAGGUGGAGCAAAUCCCUAAAAAGUUCCCUCAGUUCGGAUAGGAGUCUGAAACUCGGCUCCUUGAAGCUGGAAUUGCUAGUAAUCGCGAAUCAGCAUGUCGCGGUGAAUACGUUCCCGGGCCUUGUACACACCGCCCGU
rnacentral:rRNA from 1 species